AUGGCCUUCAUGAUUCCAGGACCUGGAAUCAUACCAGCCGAUGGUGACACAAGAAUCCCAACGGCGUCUUCGGGUAUUGUGGACUUCAGAUUUGGAUACCAUAUAACUGGAAUUAAUCAAUGCAAGUCCAAGAAGGAUUGGCCGGUGCUGCCGGCUGGCGUCAAGUUCGAUCCCAUGGAUCAGGAGCUGAUCGAGCACCUUGAGGGCAAAGUGACUGCUAAUAGCGUGAGAUCUCACCCUCUCAUCAAUUUGUUCAUACCAACCAUCGACAGCGAGCACGACAUAUGCUACACCCAUCUUGAGAAACUUCCAGGUAUCACACUGAGUGGCCUAAGCAAGCAUUUCUUCCAGAGCAAUUCCAGGGCGUUCAAAAGGGGCACGUGGACGCGUCGCAAGAUACAGUCGGAGUGCGGCAUGCAUGCGAUGUGGCAUAAGACCGGUAAUACCUUGCCGGUGGUGGUCAACGGCCGACAAACGGGCAACAAAAAGGUUCUGGUGCUACACACCAACAAGAACUUCGAUCAGCAGAGGCCCAACUGGGUGAUGCACUAG
rnacentral:rRNA from 1 species